AUUCCCCAUUCACAAUGGUAGUGAGCUAGUUUGCUAAUUGCAUAAGAAAAGUUUUUGUUAAAGGAGCCACAAGAUUAGGAUUUUGAUAGAUUUGGUGGUUGGAAAGGCAAUUCUUAUGAUCAGAUGAUCAGGGAGCUGACUAUCAAAAAAGAUAAUGAUUGAAAGAGAAGCGGGUGAAGCUUUUUGCUCAGAACAAUGCUAGAUUCCUUUCAAAACAAAAAAUACCUGUUGUUUUUAAGCAUGUGUUAUGGAACAUUGCAAUGGGGGAAAAAAAUACUCUUUCCAUGGGAAUAAGUUAUGAUGGAAUUGUA
rnacentral:misc_RNA from 1 species